UUUAGUGAGAAAAAAAAUGUAGACCGUAUUGUUAACGUGUCUUAGUAUCAAACAUACAAUCAGUUUUAACGGUAUUAUAUGUUAGCUACGCAUUGUGUACAUUCAUGGCAGCUAAACAGGACUACACGUCAUAUUAGAAAUUGUAAAUAUAUAUUUAAGGUGUGGUUAUUAUAGGUUAAAAGCAUUUUGCUUUAGUGUUGAAUAGAGACAUGGUCUAUUACGUCUGUGACAGGACUGUUCAGCCGGCUUUAUCAUUCGAUAUUCAGUUAAAUGGUGAACAAUUCCAAAGAAAGGCUUAUCAACAGAAGAAUAACAGGAAGAAGGCGUUUUUCUUAACUAUAAGAGUUUGCUGAAGUUAAGAUGACUAAAGUGUUUCUGAGAUAUGGGCCUUUUAUGGUUAGAUGACAUAUAACCAUAUACACAGAGAAGCAUUUGACCCCUCUCAUCAGAGAGCUGGAGUCUGCUGGUUUUGUUGUGGUACCCGUAAAGAUCAAAAGGGAAGAUGCUUGUCAACUCGUCAUUGACAAUGACAUUGUAUGGUCACGCAGUCUCAGUUUGUUCCAAUCAGUUGAUAGAAAGAAGAAUGAUCCAUUGAUACGAGAAGCUUUAAAAGCAUGUAUAUCUACAAACGGAACUGCAAAGGUUUAAGUCAUGGCUGUUAAACGGACAUAUGUGGAAGUCAAGACUAUUACAGAAGGACAUAUAAGAGUGUAAAGAUUUUUGCAACAGAACGUUUACUUUUAAUCUAUGGUAUACAAGGCAGAAUCUGGCAUCCAGACAUUGCAGCAAAAUAAAGAAGCGCUUUUUUUGCGGAGCAGAUUCUAUAUUUGUCAGAUGUAGAGAACACAACCUGUCACGCGGCAAUAGUCACAAAUGAAUUGAUGCUUCCACACACGUACCUGCAUAAAUAUAGAGGUAACAAAACGCAUGUCUUCAAUAUCAACGAAUGUACCCAAACGAAAAAUGACAUACAACAUUUUAGAAUGGAAUAUAGUUCUUUCUGUCUAAUAAGGUCAUGAAAUAGCUGCACUACUUUAAAGUAACAUGAUAAAAGUUAUGAUGUUUUUGUUAGAAACUAUGGUAACAAAUACUGAUGAUGCUUAAUCAUGUUGAAAACAGUUGUGUGUAUAUUAAAUAAAAAGCUGAAAAACUGUU